GACGAACGCUGGCGGCGUGCCUAAUACAUGCAAGUUGAGCGCUGAAGGUUGGUACUUGUACCGACUGGAUGAGCAGCGAACGGGUGAGUAACGCGUGGGGAAUCUGCCUUUGAGCGGGGGACAACAUUUGGAAACGAAUGCUAAUACCGCAUAAAAACUUUAAACACAAGUUUUAAGUUUGAAAGAUGCAAUUGCAUCACUCAAAGAUGAUCCCGCGUUGUAUUAGCUAGUUGGUGAGGUAAAGGCUCACCAAGGCGAUGAGACAUAGCCGACCUGAGAGGGUGAGCGGCCACAUUGGGACUGAGACACGGCCCAAACCCCUACGGGAGGCAGCAGUAGGGAAUCUUCGGCAAUGGACGAAAGUCUGACCGAGCAACGCCGCGUGAGUGAAGAAGGUUUUCGGAUCGUAAAACUCUGUUGGUAGAGAAGAACGUUGGUGAGAGUGGAAAGCUCAUCAAGUGACGGUAACUACCCAGAAAGGGACGGCUAACUACGUG
rnacentral:rRNA from 1 species